CGGGGUGCACCAGGCGCGAAAACUUUACAAUGCUGGCAACAGCGAUAAGGGGACCUCGAGUGCCAGGAUACAAUCUUGGCUGUCGCGAUGCCUAAAAAGCAUUGCAUAGCAAGGGCCGGGCAAGACCGGUGCCAGCCGCCGCGGUAACACCGGCGGCUCGAGUGGUAACCGCUAUUAUUGGGUCUAAAGGGUCUGUAGCCGGCCGGAUAAGUCUCUUGGGAAAUCCAGCUGCUCAACAGUUGGGCUUUCAGGAGAUACUGUUCGGCUCGAGACCGGGAGAGGUGAGAGGUACUUCAGGGGUAGGGGUGAAAUCUUGUAAUCCUUGAAGGACCACCAGUGGCGAAGGCGUCUCACCAGAACGGAUCUGACGGCAAGGGACGAAAGCUAGGGGCACGAACCGGAUUAGAUACCCGGGUAGUCCUAGCCGUAAACGAUACUCGCUAGGUGUCAGCCACGGUGCGACCGUGGUUGGUGCCGUAGGGAAGCCGUGAAGCGAGCCACCUGGGAAGUACGGCCGCAAGGCUGAAACUUAAAGGAAUGG
rnacentral:rRNA from 1 species